UCCUCCCAGAGAGGAGGAGACAGCUUACAGAAACGAUCGCCUUGGAAAGAGCAACUGCAGGCCCUGCAAAGCAGCUCUCUGAGGUGACCGUUGGUGCAAGAGCCGGAGAGGAGAGGAACAGGAAGAAGCGGAGGCUUGUCGUUCGCCUCCCGGUGCCCAGAGGGAGCUCCGCUCCUGCGUUUUUUUUUGGACCAGCAAAGACGGGAUAGAGAAAAUGCUUUUCACCGCCUCGGAUUUUCCUAUUUUCCUGGCGGUGUCCUAGGCGGCAAGCGUGUUUUUCUGAAAUAGUAAUGGCUAACCCCAUGAUGAUCUGAAUCAGUAACAGAGUUGGAAGAGACCUUGGAGGUCAUCUAGUCCAACCCCCUGCUCACGCAGGAGGCCUGUACUAGAUGCUGUAUACUGACGUAGGGCGGCAGAAAUCGAGGCGACUCAGGCUAUCAGUAACUAAGCAUUUUAAUCAUGUAACUCAAACGGGUAACAGUAACAAUCUCGAACGGCUAACUGUAAGAGGAAGAAACAGUUCCUUCACGAUCUGACAGCUCUUACAUCCUCGAGCUGUCAGGAUCUGAACCAAUGAGCGAUCACCUAUUUCCCGCCAUGAUAGCGCCCUCAUCUGUCGGCGGCAAUUACGCAUGCGCCAAUCUGCCAGGACAUAACACUAGGGAUUCGAACCACCGACCUUUCUGAUCGGACAAGCUCAGUGUCUUUAGCCACUGAGCCACCUAGUCAGAUCUGAUGGAAGUUUCCUGCCAUGCAGCUCUAUGUCCGCACCUGGUCAAUGUUUUUUUUUUCCUGAACAACCUUUAGGAAACCUGAGAUAAACGAAAUAAAGUUUGUUUUUGGAUAGA